CCAAUAGCGUAUAUUAAAGUUGUUGCAGUUAAAAAGCUCGUAGUUGAAUUUCGGGAUCAGUUGAUCGGUCGUGCCUCGGUACGUACUGGUCAAAUUGAUUCCUACCUUCUGACGAACCACGAUGUCAUUAAUUUGGUGUCGUGGGAAAUCAGGACUGUUACUUUGAAAAAAUUAGAGUGUUUAAAGCAGGCUCGCGCUUGAAUACAUUAGCAUGGAAUAAUGAAAUAGGACGUUUGAUUCUAUUUUGUUGGUUUCUAGGAUCGACGUAAUGAUUAAUAGGGAUAGUUGGGGGCAUUAGUAUUCAAUUGUCAGAGGUGAAAUUCUUGGAUUUAUUGAAGACUAACUACUGCGAAAGCAUUUGCCAAGGAUGUUUUCAUUAAUCAAGAACGAAAGUUAGGGGAUCGAAGACGAUCAGAUACCGUCGUAGUCUUAACCAUAAACUAUGCCGACUAGGGAUCGGAUGAUGUUAAUUUUUUAAUGACUCAUUCGGCGCCUUACGGGAAACCAAAGUGUUUGGGUC
rnacentral:misc_RNA from 1 species